rnacentral:lncRNA from 1 species
CUUUAACUUAUAUUUAUCAAGAACUUGCUUUGUGUAAGGCAUUAUAAUAAGUGCUGUACUUACUAGAAAAUCUUUGUACUUGUCUAUUUUUUCCUGCAACAAGGUGUAGAUGAUGGUGUUCACGUGGGCUGCGCACCCCCCUGGGCAUAUGCAAGGGUUAUAUACCAUUUCUGCUAUGUUGGCCAGAAAUACACCCUUCUCUUUCCCACUCAAGAAGGAAUGUCAGAAAGCAAGUGAAUGAGAUAGGUAAUCUUGAAAUUCCUCUAUAAAUUGUCUGCAAGUGUUGGUACUUUGAACCAUUAGUAACAAAUUACAGCUUAUCUCAAAACUGAUUAUGACACAACAGCCUGUCACAUCAAAAAAGGGUGAGAGCCACUGGCGUGCCUGGCAAAGCCACUGUUGCUUGUUAGACCCUGGCCCAUGAGCCUGGGCCUCCUGGCUGCCUUCUUCCCUUGCAAAUAGCCUUCAACAAGAAUAGUCUGGAAAUCUGUGAGGUCCAAUAUCAUUGCCACUGGCCACCUGUGGCUACUGAGCACUUGAGAUGUGACUAGUCUGAAUUGAGAUGUGUCUGAGCCUGCAAGUGUCUACUCCCAGCACCCAGGGCUCUGGCUGCCAAAGACUCGUCUCCAAAAUACCUCCCCCCAUCCCGUCCUCUCUUCAUGCCCUUUCUCUUAUAAUACGUGCCUGUCCCCUGCUCCUUCCUGCAGAGCCCUGCCUUCUGAGAAUGCGCGGAUUGAAUUAUUGAGGCAGCGAAUGAGUAGCUAAUGCUCUUAGGUAAUAUUGCUGAACUUGGGGAUCCAGUAAGGUAGGCCAAGGGGCUCCUUUCCACUAAAACGUGAUUUUGACUGGUACUGAACAUGGCGGUUCAUGUCAGAUGGUACCACAGGCUAAAAGGCAGAUCCCGUCAAAGCAGCAGGUGAAAGAUCUAAGAGUGAGGCCGACUUCGUGGUAAGAAAAGGAGGCUACUUGGAGUGAUGGAGGAUGUGGAAAAGCCCUACUGCUCCCAAAACACUUCCUCUCCCCACAAGAUCAAAUUGGAGGGACACUGGAUGGGAGAGGCUCUUGAGAGAGAGAAUGUUAAAGAGGAGCUGGAGGAAGCAUCUGCCCAGGAGGGUGAGGAUGGUAUUCUCCCUCCAGACAGACAGCGUCUGGGUACCUGGAGGGCCGGCUUCUUGAGGACAGAACCCCGCCUCACCUCUUGAAGUUGGGGGCACCGUGGGUGCUCGAUACCUAUUGAAUGAUUGACUGACUGGCUGAUGGAAUAAAUGAAGUGAAGAAGGAAAUGGCUGACUUUGCGUUCUAUCAACAACUGCCUGACAUUCAGCCAUAAUCUCAAGGGACUCACAGGCCUUGAAAAAAUGGCAUUAUGUAGCCUUCACUGCAACUCAGGGUGAGUUGUCUGAAUGCAGGGGGCUCAUGCUGAAGGGGUCAGCCAGAAAGAAUGGGAAGCGUCCUUUAUAAGGGGUUGUGUGCCUCGGGCACUGUACAAGGUCCCUUGGGAAGCAAAUAAAACACCUAUCUCUUUGGCAAUUCCCCACUAAGACCUUACACGAAAGAAAAAAUUCUAAGAAGAAAUUAAUUCUACCUUUCUUCAAAACGUCUUAUAAAAUUUCCCUCUUUUCUUCUGCUCUUUCCAUUUCUCUCUCCUAUAUCAGGCUCAAAAAAAUUCUCUUCCUUUUUAUCUCUUUCCUAGUCCAUAAAUGGCUUUCCUGGAGAUUUUUUUCUCUCUCUUUCUCUCAUCACAGAAGCUAGCUGACUUGCUUUUUCCAAAUCUCCAUGGCCACGUUACCACAGAUUUUUUUACGUUUAUUUAUUCUCCCACUUGAUUCCGGGUCUGAUGGAUCUAGGCCUCAGAUCGCUCAACCAUUCAGCUUUUGCUUACGUUCUUUCCUCUCUUUUCUACCAACUCUCUAGUUUAUCCCUCCAUUCUGGUUCAUUGUAGUAACUUGUUUUCCUGUGGGGAUCCUCUUUUAGAUUGCUUGUUUUGUUCCUGAAUGU